AGAGUUUGAUCCUGGCUCAGGAUGAACGCUGGCGGCAUGCCUAAUACAUGCAAGUCGAACGAGGGUCCUUCGGGACUCGAGUGGCGAACGGGUGAGUAACACGUAGGGAACCUGCCCGUGCGACCGGGAGAACUUUCGGAAACGGAAGCUGAUACCGGAUAGGGACAGAGACGGCAUCGACUCUGUGUUAAAGGAGCUGAAAGGCUCCGCGCACAGAUGGACCUGCGGUGCAUUAGCUAGUUGGUGAGGUAACGGCCCACCAAGGCGACGAUGCAUAGCCGGCCUGAGAGGGCGGACGGCCACACUGGGACUGAGACACGGCCCAGACUCCUACGGGAGGCAGCAGUAGGGAAUUUUCGUCAAUGGGCGCAAGCCUGAACGAGCAAUGCCGCGUGAACGAGGAAGGUCUUCGGAUCGUAAAGUUCUGUUGAAGGGGAAAAAGAGCGGAGAGAGGAAAUGGUCUCCGAUUGAUAUUACCCUUCGAGGAAGUCACGGCUAACUACGUGCCAGCAGCCGCGGUAAUACGUAGGUGGCGAGCGUUAUCCGGAAUGAUUGGGCGUAAAGGGUGCGUAGGCGGCCUGCUAAGUCUGGAGUGAAAGGUACCGGCUCAACCGGUACAGGCUCUGGAAACUGGCGGGCUAGAGAGCAGGAGAGGGCGGUGGAACUCCAUGUGUAGCGGUAAAAUGCGUAGAUAUAUGGAAGAACACCAGUGGCGAAGGCGGCCGCCUGGCCUGUUACUGACGCUGAGGCACGAAAGCGUGGGGAGCAAAUAGGAUUAGAUACCCUAGUAGUCCACGCCGUAAACGAUGAGGACCAAGUGUUGGGGAAGACCCAGUGCUGCAGUUAACGCAGUGAGUCCUCCGCCUGGGGAGUAUGCACGCAAGUGUGAAACUCAAAGGAAUUGACGGGGGCCCGCACAAGCGGUGGAGUAUGUGGUUUAAUUCGAAGCAACGCGAAGAACCUUACCAGGCCUUGACAUAGGGUGCGAAGCUAUGGAGACAUAGUGGAGGUAAACAUCCAUACAGGUGGUGCAUGGUUGUCGUCAGCUCGUGUCGUGAGAUGUUCAGUUAAGUCUGGCAACGAGCGCAACCCUCGUGAUGUGUUACCAAUAUCGAGUUAGGGACUCACAUCAGACUGCCGGUGAGAAACCGGAGGAAGGCGGGGAUGACGUCAAAUCAUCAUGCCCCUUAUGGCCUGGGCUACACACGUACUACAAUGGCGGCGACAGAGGGCAGCGAGCCUGCGAAGGCAAGCGAAUCCCCAAAAAGCCGUCCCAGUUCGGAUUGGAGUCUGCAACCCGACUCCAUGAAGUUGGAAUCGCUAGUAAUCGCGGAUCAGCAUGCCGCGGUGAAUACGUUCUCGGGCCUUGCACACACCGCCCGUC
rnacentral:rRNA from 1 species